AAUCCAUGCAUUGGGCAUUUACACAGUAAGUCUUUGAAUCUUUCCCAUGUCUCAUACAAACUCUCAUCUUCUACUUGCUUAAAAUAUGUCAAGUCAUUUCAUAAAUUU